rnacentral:rRNA from 1 species
CGGAGGAUCCAAGCGUUAUCCGGAAUCAUUGGGUUUAAAGGGCCGUAGGCGGUCUUGUAAGUCAGUGGUGAAAGCCCAUCGCUCAACGGUGGAACGGCCAUUGAUACUGCAGGACUUGAAUUAUUGGGAAGUAACUAGAAUAUGUAGUGUAGCGGUGAAAUGCUUAGAGAUUACAUGGAAUACCAAUUGCGAAGGCAGGUUACUACCAAUUGAUUGACGCUGAUGGACGAAAGCGUGGGUAGCGAACAGGAUUAGAUACCCUGGUAGUCCACGCCGUAAACGAUGGAUACUAGCUGUUGGGAGCAAUUUCAGUGGCUAAGCGAAAGUGAUAAGUAUCCCACCUGGGGAGUACGAACGCAAGUUUG